rnacentral:lncRNA from 1 species
UGAAAAUUUACUGUUCGGUUUCUGCAGUAGGCGCUUAAAGGUUUGUAGAAGCAGCGAGGCAUGAAUGACAGAGUGAACUGAAUGACUGAAAUGAUGACUGACAGUCCCCCGGGGACGCAGUGUGGUAGUCUGUUGCAAGUUUGAGGUCACUGUUGUAUUCUGGUAACUGUUGUAUUUUGUUCCUGUUCAAGUUGCCUCCUUUACCAGCAAGUGCCAGUGACCAGAUUCUCCUGUACCCUGGCUUCUGAGGCCGGAAUCUUUCUGUCAGAUGGGAUCCAGGUUCCCGUGGCCCUGACGAAGCCCAGCCCAGGACACCCUGUCAUGGUGCAUCUCAGUGGAGAAGAGGGCAAGAUCUCUCUUAAAGGGUGGACGAGACUCGACCUUCACAGAGGCAUCCAGAAACUUCAUGCUUACCCUGAAAGGAUGCAAUGCUCACUCUCUAUCAGCCCCAUAGGCUAAGCCAUUUGUGACAGCCGGACUCCUGCAGCUCAGAACCUGGAACUGCCACACCACAAGGUGGCCACCUCAUGGCCCCAAGGACAGGUUAGGAUAGGUCUGGGCAUGGCUCUCCUUCCGGCAGUGCUUUGAGCCUCCCAACCCCAGCUGUAAGCAUAUCCCACUUUAGGACUGAGUUCGAAGUACAGCUUAUCAACAGUCACAGCAAGAAUACACAGUGCUUCAAAAUGAAGACACUGAAAAACAGUUUCCUCCACUUUCUUUUUGUUUACUCUCUAGAACAUUCUCUGUAUCAUUACCUUUGAGGAAAAUGUUCACUUGGGGGUUAAAAUAUGUAAAAUGGGGAUACCAUGGCCUUAAUUCUCUCUGAAUAUUUACACGUGUGCAUCUUUGUAAAAAACAGUCCUAACGCUUUGAUAUCCCAUACAGUAACCUCUAGCCCCUUGUGAAUAAACUGC